GUCUUGUAGUUUAUGAUUUCAAGUCUGACCUGCCCUAUGAUUUUAUUUAAUGGCCGCGGUAUUCUGACCGUGCAAAGGUAGCAUAAUCAUUAGUUUUUUAAUUGAAAGCUUGAAUGAAAGGUUUGAUGAGAAAGUUUCUGUCUCAGGAAAAUUUAAUUAAAAUUUUAUUUUUAAGUUAAAAAGCUUAGAUGUUUGUAGAAGACAAGAAGACCCUAUAGAGUUUUAUAUUAAAUUUAAUUGUAAAAUUUAUAGACUGAAAGUUUUUAUUAUUAUAAGGAGUAUUUUGUUGGGGUGAUGGGAAAAUUAAAAGAACUUUUCUGAAUUUAUACAUUUAUUUGUGAGUUGAUGAUCCUGAAGUUUGGAUUAAAAGAUGAAAUUACCUUAGGGAUAACAGCGUAAUUUUUUUUAGAGUUCUUAUCGAAUUAAAAGUUUGCGACCUCGAUGUUGGAUUAAAGUUAAUUUUUGGUGUAGAAGCUAAAACAUUAAGUCUGUUCGACUUUUAAAACUUUACAUGAUCUGAGUUUAGACCGGUGUGAG
rnacentral:rRNA from 1 species